CCGACCUUAGCUCAGUUGGAAGAGCACAAGACUGUAAUGGGUACAUUUGAAGCUUGUAUCUUGGGGUCGCCUGUUCGAACCAGGCAGGUCGGA